UUAAUACUCCCUCCGUCCGGAAAUACUUGUCGAUGAAAUGGAUAAAAAUGGAUGUAUCUNNAACUAAAAUACAUCUAGAUACAUACAUUCCUCCGACAAAUAUUUCUGGACGGAGGGAGUAUAAA
rfam:Hordeum vulgare subsp. vulgare, WGS project CAJW01000000 data, contig: morex_contig_38925